GGGAUUCGGCUCAACGAGAACCUAUGCCACGUGUUGGUGCCGGCAGUGGUGUAUGCAGUAGCGCGUGGCCAUUCGUGGGGCCGUGUUGCAAGUGGGGGGAGGUGUGCUACUAAUAAUAGUAACAUGUGUGACAAUGCGUGGCCUUUUCACUGGUGGGGGUGUGGUGCCUCCAAUGACACCGAAAAUCGCGUGUUGAAGGUAAAAUCAGUUUUUCCUUUUCAUUUUGUAUAAUUUCGAAAUUAUUAAUUUAUUAAUAAGUGUGUAUAUUGUUUGUGAACGAGGAAAAAAUUUGAGGGGUAAUUGGGAUUAGAAGAGGAUCAUAGAUUGAAUAAGAAAGGAUUCCCAAAACUUUCCCGAUAAAAUCAUAGGUAAAAAUUUGGUUAAUCUUGUACAGGGAAAUAACAUUGUGUGUAUAAAUUAUAAAUGAUUUGUAUAAUUAUAUAUACGUGUAAAUUAUGUGUGCAUGUUUUGUAUGAGUAAACGUACAUGGUGUAUGUGUGUGCAUUGGUUAUGAAUUGGUAAGAACACAAUUAAUAAAGAUAAAUAUGUGAAUAGCUAGGUAUAGUAUGUUGUGUGUAAUUGUCAAUACGUGUUUAAGUAUAGAUGUGUGUAUAUGUAUUGAUAGAGAUUGUGUGUGUGAAUAUAAAUAUAUAUUUGUGCGAGACAAGUAGUGAGUGUACAUGUCUAUAUUAUGGAAUAUGUGUGUAUGUAUAAGUAUGUUUAUAAGUAUAAUCGUGUGUGCAUGUCAUUGUUAAGAUUGUGCGUGUGUACAUGUUUUAUAUGUAUGUGUAUUAAAUUGUGGGUAGAAAUUAACCUUAAAUUAAUAUAAAAUUUAGAUUGUGAAAUAAGAAAUUGAAUGAGUUAAAAGGAUAUGGAAAACUAAUACAAAAAGAAAUAGAGAAGUAUAAGUUAGUUAAGUUAAGUAGAUUAAAUAAGCCACUAGGAAGAUAAGUAUAUGAAAUAGUUCUAAAAGUAGAGAAUUUAGGUAAAUUUGGAAAUAAAUCACGUAGCAAGUAGAUAGAAAAACAAGAGAAACUUUUAAUGAUAAAAUAAGAAAACUAUGAAGAACUAAUAAGACAUUUAAUUCGUUAGUCGUGAAUUGAGGAGGGGAGGCUGCAUUUGUGGCUAAAGUUCAGCGAGUUUGGUGAAUCUACAUAUGGAUAGUUAUGUUAAACUUAAUUUAGACAUAGAUAGGUAUUUGUGGCCAAUGUGAGAUUGUGUCUAUGUUAUCCAAUCGAAAGGGGAUCUUUUUCACCUCUCCCGACAGCGAUAUAAUGGUAUCGCAUGAUGGUAACUUAAAUAAGCUUUAAAAGACUUAAUAACAUGAAAUUAUAAAUAUACGUGGAGUGAUAUGUGUGGAUGAGAAAUCCAAAUUGAAUCCGAGUGGAGAGAUUUGUGUGUGUGAGUAAAUCAUUUUUACUUCGAGAAAGAUGUGAAUCCAUGUGUAUGUGUGUGCAAAUUUUGUAUAUGUAAGGCUUAUGUAAGAGAAAGAGUGAUAAGCAAAAGAAUGGAACUAAUAUUAACUAUGAACUGAAAAAAUAAAAGCGUGAUUUAAAAUAGGAACAGGAAUUAGAUAAGAAGAGAGAGGAUUAGAAAAUAUUUCGUGUGUUGAUUCAUUUUGUUAUGUAUUUUGAUUAUGAUGUUUUGCUUGAUAUUUUCUUGAUUAUAAAUAUUAUUAUAACUUAUAUUGCAUGAAUGUAUGUACAUAAGUUUCUGAAUCUUUUUUUCUAACUAAGCUCGUGAAGAUCACCCCAAUUGAACUCCAUUUCAGAUCAGAGAAAACAAUAGACAAAUUCAAGAUCAAGAGAAGAUUGUGAAGAAAUACUUAUUAGUUUCUAUUUUAGAUUUACAAUUAAUUUAGAUGCCUCAUGUAUCUGUAAACAAA
rnacentral:lncRNA from 1 species